CUACAUUGUGUGUCAAAUCCUUUCUGAAUCCUUUUUGUUGCAUAUAUGAGAAGACAUUUAGAAAAAGAUUUUGGAAUGCCUUUAAUCUUCUAAAUCAACAAUAAAGAAAAAAAUGAAAUAAAGGUCAAGGUUUUGAUAUACUGCUUCUAAAGUACAUCCCACACUGAGUAAAACACCAUGAAAUCAUCUGUCAGAACUGACUUUCUUCCAGAGACUACAUUCCAAGAGCGUGAAGAGAGCAAAGUGGCUAUUGGAUGGUUUCCUUAGAUUCCAAUGCACCUUAAUCAUAUUCACAAGACUGUACGUUUUCAUCACUGCAGGAGCUGGCAGAAUUUUGUGACAAUUCUGGGAAAUGCUUUCAGAUGGCCCCUUCUAUGAAUUAUGAAUGUUUCACAAAGCUCUAUGGUAAAUGGAAUAGCCUUGUUCUCCACAAAUGCAGGGGUGGAUUAAGAGGUGGCCUUCCUUUGUUUCUUUGCCUUGAAAUUUAAUAUUGUUUGCAAACAGAGAAAUUAAAUCUCGAUGAAGGUUCCCAUGGGUGAAUUUGGUGUUACAGCAAGAUUUGAAACUGUCUGACCUGAUAGGGGUGAAAAGAAUCUGGCUGGACUGUCCACCUCUCACUGUGGGGGCAGCUCCUGGCUUAGAAGUUCUAGACCAGGUCCAAAGGCUGUUGACAGAGAACCCACAUCUUAUCACAGGAGAUUCCAAGGAGUCACACAGAUGGCCCCACGGAGGGUCAAGCUGGAAGAGGAAAGGGAAGGUGAAAUAUGAGAGAAGCUGAAAGGAUAUACAGCAGGAAGACAAGCUUUCAAGGAGCUUCAGUGUGUGCAUCUGCAUUUAGACCACAAACAGCAACAGUGCUGGAAUUUCCACUCUCUGAGGUGUUAGAUCCCAACCUUCCUUGAUGAAAGGAUGCUAGGUGCUCAAUAAAUGCUUCAUGAAGAAAUGAACCCAAUCACAUGCCAGGCUUUCAGACUCAGACUGGGAUUACACCAUUGGUUCUCCAGCUCUCUGGAGAGAGAGCUUCCUGGGUCUUCAGUUUGCAGAGAGCAGAUCAUGGGUCUUCUCAGCCUCCAAAAUUGUGCCUUUAAGAAUACUCACUAUUGGAGCACUCUCUCUAAGAACCCACAUGCAGAGGCCACAUAGAGGAGCUUCAGUUGACAGCUCUGGCUAAGCUCCAACCCAAUAGCCAGCAGCAGCUGCCAGGCUUGUGAAUGACAUCUUGGACAUCCAGCUCAGUCAAGUCUUCAGAUGACUCCAGUCUCAGCUGCCAUCUGACUGCAACUGCAUGAGAGAUUCCAAGUAAGAAUUGUCCCAGUUGAGCCCAGUCAACAUGCAGAAGUUGGGAGAUGAUAAAAAAUUAUUGUUUUGAGACACUAAAUUUUAGAGUAUUUAAUUUUGCAGUAAUAGACACCUGAAACAAUGUUUUCUUCUGAGUUAAUUUGCGAAUUGUGAAAAUUUUCAAGAGAUGGUUAGUAAAAGUUUUUGUGUGCAUAUUUCAAGUUUAAUGUACCUGGUGCUGAAAACCAUUUGGAACUGUAAGCAUGUU
rnacentral:lncRNA from 1 species